CCCAAGACCCUUUCAGUACCACACGAUGCAGCAGGAAGAAAGAAGAAAUAAAAAAAAAGAAAAAACAAUCAAAAUACGUGGAUCAGCCACAAAAGGGCUCGCCUCCACGGGGCAUGCAAACUUCACUAUGAAAAGAAAAUUUUACAAGAGGAGACCUCACCCUCAACCCUUGUACACCCAAUUCUCUCUCACAUGAAGUUUCCCUCACAAAAGCUCUCUCUCUCUUGGAGAUCCUCCUGAACCUCUGAAGAGCCUGGCGACCGCUGUCCAGGAGCCUCCUGCUCCUUCUCUCACAGCACGUCCGCUUCCCUCUCUCUUCUCGGGGCCGUACGGCCUUCGUACGGCGAGAAAACCGAAAAACCACACCUCUCUGUGCCUCACAGGCCUUUUUAAAGGCAUAAACACUUAGAGAAGGAUUAGGA
rnacentral:lncRNA from 1 species